rnacentral:lncRNA from 1 species
AAAAUCAAAAUUCAAUGACAAGAUUUUGAUGAAAUUUCGAACGCAAGAAAGCAAAAGAUUUUUUUCUAGGCACAGGAAGAGAAUGCCAAAAAAAUUUGGGAAUUAGCAAGAGAGAGAAAAAAUAAUUAAAAUUUGAAAAAUAAAAAUAAAAUAAAAGAUAUCCAUAAAAUCCCUUAUUUUUCUCCUACUAAUCCCACUACUCAUAACUCCCCCA